rnacentral:rRNA from 1 species
UACGAAGGGGGCUAGCGUUGUUCGGAAUUACUGGGCGUAAAGGGCGCGUAGGCGGUGCUUCAAGUCAGGCGUGAAAGCCCCGGGCUCAACCUGGGAACCGCGCUUGAGACUGGAGGACUAGAGUUCGGGAGAGGAUGGUGGAAUUCCCAGUGUAGAGGUGAAAUUCGUAGAUAUUGGGAAGAACACCGAUGGCGAAGGCAGCCAUCUGGACCGACACUGACGCUGAGGCGCGAAAGCGUGGGGAGCAAACAGGAUUAGAUACCCGCGUAGUCC